rnacentral:lncRNA from 1 species
AAGAGAGAAGCACUCCUCUUCCACGACUCCGCUCCUCCUCAAGCAUGAUUUUGCCAACGCUGCUCCACCUUGUAGCUCUACGAUUUUGGACGAAUUUAUGUUCUAUCUUUGUUUUUGUUUUUUUUAAUUUUUUUCACUCUAAUAUAGUCAGAUUUAUGGUGAAAGGACUUGAAUCUACUGUUCGAAAUUCAAAAUUGGACGAGGGAAAACAUUGGGCCAUGGAACAAUCUUCAAAUUAAUUUCAAGCCUUAUAAAUCGAAGGUGAACUUUGAUUCUUAGCAUUAGGGUAGCAGAUAGUAACUGUUGUGUUGAGUAACAAUUUCAUGUUAGGAAAAUGCAUAAAGCUCGUUCGACAUUGUAAAAUAAUGCUUUCCCAUCUAGGUUGCGUAGCUUUGCAUUCAAUCCAAAUUUUGUAACUUUUGCAUUGUUAUGUUGAAGUUUCUGUUAUUCGUUGUGCCUUGAUUCUGGAUAAUUUAUGGAUCUUUACUGCAAAUUUCGAAGUAUUUUUUUUUUCCACUUUAAUAUGCAUAAAAAAGGCACUUAGUGCGCAUUUGGAAAACUUAAUUAGGCUAUAGAUUAAAUUGUAUAGAGGAUAAAAUCUGUCAAAUCCAGCUUUUGAUGUAAAUUGUAUAUGAAUUAUUAUCAGUCACUUGUACAGUUUCAGCCUAAAAAACAUAAAAUUAGAGGCGGGGUUCAAAAAAUUUCUAUUUGUGGCUUUUUUGAGUGAUUUUUGUAAAGCAUGAUGAUCGUGUUUAUGGAUUCAACUCCUUGGCUAGUCACAUAUACAAGAUGCUAUGAAAAUUUAGCCUCCAAUUGAUCUGCAAAAUAAUCCAGUCACAUUCUUGUUACGCAAAUAAUAGCUAGGGAAAUGGAGGAAGAAGAACUACCAGACAGAAGCAGAAGAACAAACCAAAGAAAGGGGAAGAAGAAGGAACCAAGUACCAACGGACUUAAUGGACUUUUGAAAGGAAACGGUGUUGUUUGGUAUUAAAUGAAACUUUGUCGUUUUAUUCCAAUAAUUGUUGUAUCAUAAAUUCCUUAUUUCAGCUGGAGUAAAUUCUAGUGUAGGUUUGUGCGAAACUGUGUUUGCGAGUUGCAGUUCAGCUCGUGGCAGAUGGUAUCAGAGUAGGCAUAUUAUACUUAGCAAACAAUAAUCAUGGAUACAAGGUCGAAGGCAGUUGAUGAGCACUAGAAGAAAUUGGAUCUGAAGAUUUCUCAUUUGGGUAAUUCCUUUAAAGCUGUUAACAACAGGCUGAAGAACAAGUUGGCUUCCACUGAUCAAUCUCUCCAGAUAAGUGGGCAUAGACAGGAAAAACUUGAAGCUACACUGUUAGAUAUGAAUCAUAAAAAUGAAAAUUUAGUGGCCAUGUUGACCCAGUUGUCUUUAGAUAUCAAAAUGGGGCAGAAAAACAAAGGAGUGGAAGAAACUCUGGUCAAGGUGAAUUCUGAGGGUGUAAUAUCUAUCUUAGGAGCUAGUAACACUGAAAGUAGUAUUUAUACUAUAGGGGACUUUAAGGGAAAUAAUAGGCUGCCUAAGUUUGAUUUUCCACACUUUGGGGGAGAACCUAAGGAAUGGCUUAGAAAAGCUAGGGAGUAUUUCCAACUUCGUCAGAUCCCACAUGAAUUGAGAUUGGGUAUUGCUGAAAUGUAUUUGAAAGGUAAAGCAGAUUUGUUUUGCCAGAAUUUCACUGUAAUUGUUGAUUUUAUCAACAACUUUUCUCCAUCUUCUCUUAUUCAUUUAACAUCAUUUAUCCUAUCCCCAUCAUAUUUUCUUUUAAUUUGGUUACAAUUUCAGCUCAUUCUGCUGUGAGAAUUUCACAGUUGAUCUGUUGGAAACUUGAGGUUGAUAAUUGAAAUUCAGUUCAUGACAAAAUGGUAUCAAAGCCAGAUUUCCUUGCGAGACAACCUAAUGUAGAUUGGAGAAUCUUCAAUUAAGAAUUGUGUAAGAGGUUUGAUGAGAAUACUGAAAUUAUUGAGGAAGUAGGAGGAAAGGAAAUCUGAAUCACAUAAAGAGGAAGUUUUUGAGAUUUCUAUCAAUGCUUUGGAAGGAAUUCCAGGGCAUAAAACUAUCAGAAUUCCUGGAAUUUUAAAGGGGAGGAGGAUAUCUAUUCUAAUAGAUAGUGGAAGCACACAUAGCUUCCUAGAUGAGAGACUGGCUAAGGAACUGAACUACACUACUGAGGAAACCAUAACUAUGACAAUGAGAGUGGCUAAUGGUGAAAAGCCGGAGGGUAAAGCUUUGAAUCAACCACUGGUUUGGAAGGUGCAUAACUGGGAGUUCCAGUAUAAUUUGAGAUCUCUGAAGUUAGGAGGUAGUGCUAUGGUAUUGAGGGUGAACUGGAUGAGUCAGCCUCAUAAAAUUUCAUAAAAUUUGACUUUAAUCUAGGAUAUGUGAAGUUCAAACACCAGCAGAAAGAGGUUAUCUUGAGGAGUGAAGGAUCAGAACCAGGGGUUAAAAUGAUGGAAGUUGAGGAAAUGGAGAAUUUGUUUAGAAGGUACCAUUAUGGACUGGCUGGCCAUUUGUACAAUAUUGUGGAGAAAGGGAAAGAAGAAAUUCCAUGCCAAAUCACUGAGGUUAUUAGCCAAUAUACAGAGGUAUUUGAAGAACCAACAGGGUUGCCAUCUCCUAGAUCUCAUGACCAUCAUAUUCUGUUAAAAGAGAUAGCAUUACCAUUCAAAAUUAGGACUUAUAAAUGCCUUUCUAUUCGGAAAAUAGAAAUAGGAAGGCUAGUGGUGGAGAUCGAAAAUACAAAUUAAAUCAACAGUUAAAGGAGAACCUUUCACAGGCAAGUGCAAGGACGAAGCUUUAUGCUGAUAGAAAGAGACCAGAAAGGCCAUUUGUUGAAGGUGAUUGGGUAUUCCUUAAAACUCCUUCCAUACAGGCACCAGUCAGUAGAGCACAGGCAGAACUUCGAGCUGGGCGCAAGUUAUUUUGGUCCUCACCAGAUUAUCAAGGAAAUAGGGACAGUAGCAUAUCAGUUGGCACUACGUGAAGGUUCAAAAUUCCAUCCAAUUUUCUGUGUCGUUGUUGAAAAGGAAGUUAGGUGAUAAACAUAUGCCGGUACUAUAUUUGCUUAUUAAUAGUUAUUCCCAACAGGUAGAACAUUAACCACACUCCAUCUUACAGUCAAGGAUGGUAGAGAGUCGGAUCCGCACAGCAAGGCGAUGGUUGAUUCAUUGGUCAGAUCUUCCUCCUGACAGUGCAACUUGGGAGAAUGUGGAACGGGUUAAAGUUAAAUUUCCCAAUUGUAGAUCUUAGGGGCAAGAUCAAAGUGAGGGGGAGGGUUGUUACGUGAAGAGUAGCUAGGGAAAUAGAGGAAGAGGAACUACCAGACAGAAGCAGAAGAAGAAACCAGAGAAAGGGGAAAAAGAAGGAACCAAUGGACUUUUAAAUGGAAACGGUGUCGUUUGGUCCUAAAUGGAACUGUGUUAUUUUAUUCCAAUAAUUUUGUUAUUUGUUAGAAAUCGUCUUUUACUUUUGGGGUUUGGAAAGCACAACUUUAUAUAUAUAUAUAUAUAUAUAUAUAUAUAUAUAUAUAUAUAUAGCCAUGUGCGAAGAGGGAAAGACUGAUUUUUCUGCCAAAUUGGUUGUUAAUUGAAGUGAUUCAAUUCAGUCCUCUCCUUCUCAUUCUUAUUUUACAUCAUUUAAUCCGUCCCCCAUCAUCUUUUACCUUGAAUUUAGUAUCAUAAAUUCCUUAAUUCAGCUGGAGUAAAUUCCAGUGUUGGUUUGUCUGAAUCUUUGUUUGCGAGUUGUAGUUCAGCUCGUGACAAUUCUAUUAUUCAAAGGCUUGAUUAACGGUAUUUAACAACCUCCAUUAGCAAAGGCAGCUAACAUGUGCUACAGCUUCCAGUCACAACCAUGCGUCCUUCGCAUGCUAAAGCCUUCAUUAGCUGCUGUUGCCACAACUGUUGGCUACUAGAGCCUCUGGUCAUCAUCGUUGAGGUUGUCACAGCAUGUUUAAGGUCAUCAAAUGCUCCAAGUGAGGCAAUCACUGGAUGAUCCAUCUAGUCCUGUGAAUGGGCUGAAGUGAUUCCAAUUUGAUCGCCUUUAUUGAGCACAAUUUUGUUAAUGGAGGGACAAUUUCCAAUUAGGCUACAAGUUAGUCUUUUCUUUAUUUGAACGACGAAAGUGCACACUUUGGCAACAACUCGGAUGCAGUAAGAUGGAUAGUAGACAGCAAGGAAACAUUGUAGUCACCAUUAAGAGCUAAUUUUACAUUUUGUUUGUGAAUUACAAAUCUGGUGGCUACGUGGCUACCAUGGUCUGAAUAUUAAUGAGGUUGAUCAAGUUCUCUUGAACUUAAUCAAAUUACUUGAUAAUCAUGAAGUCCAUAGGUAAUUUCUCUCGCACACAGUUAUUUAAAGAUCUUCAAAUGGGUUCCUUAUGAGUUCUUUUGAUUUAUUUUGCCAGGAUCUGUUGUGAUGUAUGCUAGAAGUGGUUCCAUUGCAAGUGUGUGAAGAUUACACCAGCUAGAGCCGAGCAUAUUAAGCAUUACAAGUGUCCUUUAUGCAGUAACAAGAGAGCCAGUGCUUGAUGUGAAAUAUUAUUAUCCGUACUCUUGAUAACCAUCCAAGUCUUUGUUGCUUAUUUCAUUUCUUGUUUGAGUAUAAUGUGGAGAAUUAACCUAUGAAUAGAACUCUUGUUGGGUAGUCUUGCAAUUGGUAUAGGUUGUCUUAUAUAGGACAAAAUGGUUGUUUAGACGCUUGAAGCACAGUCGAAUCAACGGUAGGAACUGUUUGAAUAUUAAACUCUUAUAGUUUUUCUUCUUGAUAUACCAAAUUGUAGAUACGUUGAAUUGAAGGAAAUGGCUCCAUCAAGAAAAUUUGACUACGAAUAGCUGAAAAACAAUCUUGGAGUCCCUGAAGAAACUCUAUGGAACAAUCUUGAUUUUGUUGAUCAACAAUAUUUUUAGCAUUAGCACCUAUAAAUGGAGUGACUGAUGUAAUGGAACUAUGUCCA